AUUGAACGCUGGCGGAAUGCUUUACACAUGCAAGUCGAACGAUGAACCUUAGCUUGCUAAGGGGAUUAGUGGCGAACGGGUGAGUAAUAUAUCGGAACGUGCCUUGUAAUGGGGGAUAACCAGUCGAAAGAUUAGCUAAUACCGCAUACGCCCUGAGGGGGAAAGUAGGGGAUCUUCGGACCUUACGUUAUAAGAGCGGCCGAUAUCUGAUUAGCUAGUUGGUGGGGUAAUGGCCUACCAAGGCGACGAUCAGUAGCUGGUCUGAGAGGACGACCAGCCACACUGGAACUGAGACACGGUCCAGACUCCUACGGGAGGCAGCAGUGGGGAAUUUUGGACAAUGGGCGCAAGCCUGAUCCAGCCAUUCCGCGUGAGUGAAGAAGGCCUUCGGGUUGUAAAGCUCUUUCGCAAGGGAAGAAAACUUACCAUCGAAUAAAUGGUGAGGCUGACGGUACCUUGAUAAGAAGCACCGGCUAACUACGUG
rnacentral:rRNA from 1 species